rnacentral:rRNA from 1 species
CGGAAAAUGGCGGCGUGCUAAUACAUGCAAGUCGAGCGAGCAGAACCAGCAGAUUUACUUCGGUAAUGACGCUGGGGACGCGAGCGGCGGAUGGGUGAGUAACACGUGGGGAACCUGCCCCAUAGUCUGGGAUACCACUUGGAAACAGGUGCUAAUACCGGAUAAGAAAGCAGAUCGCAUGAUCAGCUUAUAAAAGGCGGCGUAAGCUGUCGCUAUGGGAUGGCCCCGCGGUGCAUUAGCUAGUUGGUAAGGUAACGGCUUACCAAGGCAAUGAUGCAUAGCCGAGUUGAGAGACUGAUCGGCCACAUUGGGACUGAGACACGGCCCAAACUCCUACGGGAGGCAGCAGUAGGGAAUCUUCCACAAUGGACGCAAGUCUGAUGGAGCAACGCCGCGUGAGUGAAGAAGGUUUUCGGAUCGUAAAGCUCUGUUGUUGGUGAAGAAGGAUAGAGGCAGUAACUGGCCUUUAUUUGACGGUAAUCAACCAGAAAGUCACGGCUAACUACGUGCCAGCAGCCGCGGUAAUACGUAGGUGGCAAGCGUUGUCCGGAUUUAUUGGGCGUAAAGCGAGCGCAGGCGGAAGAAUAAGUCUGAUGUGAAAGCCCUCGGCUUAACCGAGGAACUGCAUCGGAAACUGUUUUUCUUGAGUGCAGAAGAGGAGAGUGGAACUCCAUGUGUAGCGGUGGAAUGCGUAGAUAUAUGGAAGAACACCAGUGGCGAAGGCGACUCUCUGGUCUGCAACUGACGCUGAGGCUCGAAAGCAUGGGUAGCGAACAGGAUUAGAUACCCUGGUAGUCCAUGCCGUAAACGAUGAGUGCUAAGUGUUGGGAGGUUUCCGCCUCUCAGUGCUGCAGCUAACGCAUUAAGCACUCCGCCUGGGGGAGUACGACCGCAAGGUUGAAACUCAAAGGAAU